rnacentral:rRNA from 1 species
UACGGAGGGGACUAGCGUUGUUCGGAAUUACUGGGCGUAAAGCGCACGUAGGCGGAUUUGUAAGUCAGGGGUGAAAUCCCGGGGCUCAACCUCGGAACUGCCUUUGAUACUGCAAAUCUCGAGUCCGGAAGAGGUGAGUGGAAUUCCUAGUGUAGAGGUGAAAUUCGUAGAUAUUAGGAAGAACACCGGUGGCGAAGGCGGCCCACUGGUCCGGUACUGACGCUGAGGUGCGAAAGCGUGGGGAGCAAACGGG